GGGACAGUGCAGACCUGCAGUGACUCAGUCACGAGCCAAGGGACACGGGCACCCCAGAAACUGAGGGUCGGGGGAGACUCCCUCCCGGAGCCUCCGGCGGGGGCCAGGCUCUCACAACACCUUGAACUAGGAUCUCUGGGCUCCAAAACCGCGGGAGAGGCGGGUGCUGGCUUUCGUCUGCUGCACGCACCACUGGCGACAACAGUCCAGCGUGUGACUCAGCCCCGGGGGUCAGGCCGGCUCACCGUCCAGUGCUCCCCGUGGACCCGCAGCCUCACAGGGACGAGAGGAGCCUCAGGGCCAACAGGGCCUAGGUCGCCGUGACCCUGCCCGCACCCCUCCUCGUCUCCUGUCUGCUUUGGCCUGGGAGCCGCUGAGCAAGGGUCUUUCCCGGAGCAAAAGUGUUGCAACUGGACCGGGU